GCAGUCGAGCGGACCGAUGGGAGCUUGCUCCUUUAGGUUAGCGGCGGACGGGUGAGUAACACGUGGGCAACCUGCCCUGCAGACUGGGAUAACUUCGGGAAACCGGAGCUAAUACCGGAUAACACCGAAAACCGCAUGGUUUUCGGUUGAAAGGCGGCUUUUAGCUGUCACUGCAGGAUGGGCCCGCGGCGCAUUAGCUAGUUGGUGAGGUAACGGCUCACCAAGGCGACGAUGCGUAGCCGACCUGAGAGGGUGACCGGCCACACUGGGACUGAGACACGGCCCAGACUCCUACGGGAGGCAGCAGUAGGGAAUCUUCCGCAAUGGACGAAAGUCUGACGGAGCAACGCCGCGUGAGCGAAGAAGGUCUUCGGAUCGUAAAGCUCUGUUGUCAGGGAAGAACAAGUGCCGUUCGAACAGGGCGGUACCUUGACGGUACCUGACGAGGAAGCCACGGCUAACUACGUGCCAGCAGCCGCGGUAAU
rnacentral:rRNA from 1 species